UCUACCUCCGAAUUGGGGAUAACAUUGCGAAAGCGGUGCUAAUACCGAAUGACAUCCCCGGGACUCCGGUCUUGGGAAUCAAAGGUGGCCUCUACAUGUAAGCUACCGUUUGGAGAUGAGCCCGCGUACCAUUAGCUUGUUGGUAGGGUAACGGCCUACCAAGGCUUCGAUGGUUAGCUGGUCUGAGAGGAUGAUCAGCCACACUGGAACUGACACACGGUCCAGACUCCUACGGGAGGCAGCAGUGAGGAAUUUUGCGCAAUGGGGGAAACCCUGACGCAGCAACGCCGCGUGAGUGAUGAAGGCUUUCGGGUCGUAAAGCUCUGUCAAGUGGGAAGAACCUGCUUCGUGCUAAUAUCACGGGGCACUGACGGUACCACUGAAGGAAGCACCGGCUAACUCCGUGCCAGCAGCCGCGGUAAUACGGGGGGUGCUAGCGUUAUUCGGAAUCAUUGGGCGUAAGGGCGCGUAGGCGGUCGCUUAAGUCAGAUGUGAAAGCCCUCGGCUUAACCGAGGAAGUGCAUUUGAUACUAAGUGACUUGAGUAUGGGAGAGGAAGCGGA
rnacentral:rRNA from 1 species